rnacentral:rRNA from 1 species
UACGUAGGGGGCUAGCGUUGUCCGGAAUCAUUGGGCGUAAAGAGCGUGUAGGCGGCUCGGUAAGUCCGCUGUGAAAGUCCAGGGCUCAACCCUGGAAUGCCGGUGGAAACUGUCGAGCUAGAGUCCGGAAGAGGCGAGUGGAAUUCCUGGUGUAGCGGUGAAAUGCGCAGAUAUCAGGAGGAACACCAACGGCGAAGGCAGCUCGCUGGGACGGCACUGACGCUGAGACGCGAAAGCGUGGGGAGCAAACAGG